CCUACGGGGCGCAGCAGUUAGGAAUAUUCGUCAAUGGGGGAAACCCUGAACGAGCAAUGCCGCGUGAGUGAUGAAGGCCCUAUGGGUUGUAAAACUCUGUUGUUAAGAAAGAAUGGUAGAAUUAGGAAAUGAAUUCUACUUGACGGUACUUUUCAAGAAAGCCACGACUAACUACGUGCCAGCAGUCGCGGUAAUACGUAGGUGGCAAGCGUUAUCCGGAUUUAUUGGGCGUAAAGGGAACGCAGGCGGUCUUUUAAGUCUGAUGUGAAAGCCUUCGGCUUAACCGGAGUAGUGCAUUGGAAACU
rnacentral:rRNA from 1 species